rnacentral:snoRNA from 1 species
ACUUUCCCUAGGGGCAUUGCAGGUGAGGAUGUGUUGUCAGUAGGCAGCAGGGAUGAGAGAGGCUUUAUAUGUCCUCACACAGUGCCUGUGAACAUCUGAAUGGUUAGUAGCCUAACAUU